UACGUAGGGGGCAAGCGUUAUCCGGAUUUACUGGGUGUAAAGGGAGCGUAGACGGAAAGGCAAGUCAGAAGUGAAAGCCCAAGGCUCAACCAUGGGACUGCUUUUGAAACUGUCAAACUAGAGUACGGGAGAGGUAAGAGGAAUUCCUAGUGUAGCGCUGAAAUGCGUAGAUAUUAGGAGGAACACCAGUGGCGAAGGCGUCUUACUGGACCGAAACUGACGUUGAGGCUCGAAAGCGUGGGGAGCAAACAGG
rnacentral:rRNA from 1 species